GUGAAUGAACUGGGGCUAGGGAGCUGUGGUGAGUGGCAAAUCAAAGUGAUUAGGCUCCCACUUGUUGCUCUGUCCCAUAAAUGUGCCUUCUCUCCAUUUAUACUAUCUAUUUUGGAGUUUCAGUCCUGCAUUGACUCACAAGGCAAACGAACAUCUACAUACUCAAGAAAGGACCGAAAAACCAGGAGUAGUUCUCAGUCUCUGCUUCUGACCUCAAGUACCAAUAGGGAAAAUAUAUCCCGACCCCUGACGGUCACGUCUCCCCAUCUCACGGAUGAGAUGCCAGUCCGAUAUGUCAGCUGUGUUUUGCUUCAGCCUGAAUUCUGGGAAGUGUUACCAUUUCUCUUCCUGAACAUUUGCUUUGAAGAUAAAGAGAGGAUGUUCAUCUCCCCCAAGGACCUCCCCGGGCGUUCCUGCCUGUCAGUCUUGUCCUUGCUUUGGGAAAUUACAUCAGCCAAACAUGAGCUGGACGAACAACCCAUCAGGUGACUGCACCCAAAUGAAGAGAAGCCCAAGGGAAAGUCCUCUGUAGCAUCCUUCUUCCCUUUGAUACCCAGGCAGUGACUCUAGGAAGGUGACUUAUUUUCACUAACACCCCAGAUCGGUGUAGUCAAUUUUAAAACCAGGCCCACAAGCACUGACGCAGUAAAAAGCCCUGUGGCCUGGUGACCUGGGCUCUGGGUCUGGCAUUGUCACUGACCAGCUGUGACCUCAGAAGUGUCUUUACUUCCCUGGCCUCUGGGUCUUCAACUGGAAAAUGGGAGCGUUGGGUUGAAGUGGUACUAACGUUUUCAAUUAUAUGUUUACUCUUUUUUUUUUUUUUUAUUAUAUCUCCAACUGCUCUAUGGUCUAUGUUGAAAGAAUUUUGACUUCUCAACACAUUGAACUUGUUAAGCAGCAGCCUUUAUUUUAUUUCUCUUUUUUAUUCAUCAAAGCAUAUGCCGGAGCCUCUGAUCAACGUGACUGGUUAAUCUUCUUCCAGCCAAAUAAAACCUCAUUGUAAGGACACAUGGUUUCUUAUAGGAUGUUUGAAAUUUUGAAAAUAUGUCACAAAUCCCUACUCCAAUCCUCAUGGGCCCCUAAAAAUUCUAAGGAUCCCAAAUGAGGAACAAAUGGGCUAAAACAUGGUUAGAGAAGCCUCCUGUGUCCAGUAUUGUGGUAAAGAUGACAGAGCCCCAAAACCCCUAUACAAGAAAAGAAAAGAAAAAUGUUACAGCACUGGUUUAAAUAGCCCAAGCUCAGGCUGUGAAAGCUCAGGCCUUGUCUUUCUUUUCUGUUGGAGGAGAUGGCUUCUAUCCAUGCUUCCCCUCCAUUUAAUCUUGCCGGUACCAGAAUUCACUGAAUAGCUGAGCUGUCUCCACCAAUGAAUACCCAAAAUGAUGAAAAACAAACACUUACCUCUCUUUCUGAUGGUUUCAUUUACCAACUUCCCUAAUACUUAUGGAUCAUUCUAGACUUCAAAGAAUGCAUUUUCUAUCUGACUUUAUAUUUUUAAUAUAGUGAUAGAGUACUUACUGUUUUCCAGGCAAACGGUAGGCACAUAGCACAUGCUUGCUGGACCAACACCUGUAUGAAUGGACUCUGUUAAGCGUUUCCACAUAGUCCAUGCAAUUUAACUCUCUCAGCAGCUCUGUAAGAUAGGGAGUAUUCUUCCUGUUUCCCCACUGAGGAAACUGAGUCUGAGUCAGGUGCUAUUAAUUGUUCAGAGUCAUACAGUUAGUAAGUGGUGAGGCAGGCUUAAACCCAGAUCUUUUGUCCACACAUUGCUGGGCAGGUGCCCUACAG
rnacentral:lncRNA from 1 species